AUUUAUUUGAAGAGAAAUUGGGUUGAGAAAGUGUGAGAAAAUGGAGCAACCAUCAUCUCCGGGAACAAACCCGGUUGAGAUUAGUCGAUGCAUUGAAGAAAUAGUGAAGUUCACUUUGGAGUCUCACAUGAAGCAAAAUCUACAGCUUGAUCUUGCUCUCUCCAAAGACUUCUGCUCCUUUCUCCUUCGACACGUUCCUGUCACCUCUGAUUCUUGUGUUAAAGAAUCCCAGUAUCCUUUAUACAAACGGUUGGCAACGGCUUUAUACGAAUUGAUCACUUGUGCGGCAGCAUCAAAUGGGACAUUUAGUAAAAAUCAAGAUAAUGAAUUGGUUCUCAAAGAAGGAUCUGAAUUAGUAGAACUUUUGAAGGCUGUAAACUUCGAACUUCAUGUUCAAGAACCUUAUUUCACCCAAUUGAAAGAUGGCUUGAAAACUGUUGAAGGAAGGUGCGCUGUUGGUGACUACAGUAGAAUUGGCCCUGGAGCUUUAAUUCUUUUUAAUAAAUGUUUGGUGCUUGAGGUCCAGGAUGUUGAACGGUAUGGAUCAUUUUAUGAGAUGUUGCAAGCACAGAGUCUUGCAAAAGUCCUGCCUGGCAUAAAAAGCAUUGUUGAAGGUUUUUGAGCUUUGUAAAUGGAGACUAAGAAUUGUUAGCACUUGGAGGGAGCAUGAGGUUCAAGGGGUAGAUAUAUUGGUUGAUGCUGAAGCCAAAAAGGGGUGCUGCAGACCAAUUCUUGGGUGGCACAUGGAGGCUACUAGAGUGAGAUGUUAUGGUCCAUGCUUUUGGUAGAUUGUUAGCCUUGUACCCUGUGGGUAAAACAGAAUAAAAAAGGGUGUUCAAGUGUACAGGAAGUUUUACACUGAAGAGAAGGAACAGUCCAAUGGUGUCCUUGCAAUUUGUGUUGCAAAAUGGCCAGCCCAGCCCUUCUUUCAUAUUGCCAGAAUUCUCAAUCAAUUGAGUUAUGAGGGUCUCCAAAGUCUUCUGGGUCUCAAUGAUCACAAUUAAAAGGUUGCAGAGUCAUUGCUUCAAGCCUAUGAUGUGAUAAGUAGUUUGUUUCCCUUUUGUGUUUGCAUGCAUAGCCUUUGUUAAGAAAUCUGUCACAUUCAUAUACAAAUGUUGAGAUAAACUAUUUUAACUCACAAAAUAUAAAAUAGAAGAAUGGAAUUCAUUCCUUGAUAAAAAACAGAUAAAUUUGUUCACCCUAAAAGCACUUAGGUUUUACAAUUAAAAUUCUUGAGAUGACUGUUAUUUUAUAGACCUCUUAUUUUGAAUUCUAUGCUAAAGGCAGUUCCAAAUUACUUGCACAUAGUAUUGUAUUUAACAUGUGAAUGAAAUGAUUUGAAUACCCUCCAA